rnacentral:rRNA from 1 species
GACGAACGCUGGCGGCGUGCUUAACACAUGCAAGUCGAACGGAAAGGCCCUGCUUUUGUGGGUUGCUCGAGUGGCGAACGGGUGAGUAACACGUGAGUAACCUGCCCUUGACUUUGGGAUAACUUCAGGAAACUGGGGCUCAUACCGGAUAGAAGCUCCUGCUGCAUGGUGUGGGUUGGAAAGUUUCGGCGGUUGUGGAUGGACUCGCGGCUUCUCCGCUUGUUGGUGGGGUAGUUGCUUACCAAGGCUUUGACGGGUAGCCGGCCUGAGAGGGUGACCGGCGACAUGGGGACUGAGAGACGGCCCAGAAUCCUACGGGAGGCAGCAGGGGGGAAUAUUGCAGAAUGGGCGGAAGCCUGAUGCAGCAACGUCGCGUGCGGGAUGACGGCCUUCGGGUGGUAAACCGAUUUCGCCUGUGACGAAGCGUGAGUGACGGUAAUGGGUAAAGAAGCACCGGCUAACUACGUG